rnacentral:rRNA from 1 species
GAUGAACGCUGGCGGCGUGCUUAACACAUGCAAGUCGAACGGUGAAAGAGAGCUUGCUCUCUGGAUCAGUGGCGAACGGGUGAGUAACACGUGAGCAAUCUGCCCCUGACUCUGGGAUAAGCGCUGGACACGGCGUCUAAUACCGGAUACGAGCUGCGAAGGCAUCUUCAGCGUCUGGAAAGCACUUCGGUCCAGGAUGAGCUCGCGGCCUAUCAGCUAGUUGGUGAGGUAACGGCUCACCAAGGCGACGACGGGUAGCCGGCCUGAGAGGGUGACCGGCCACACUGGGACUGAGACACGGCCCAGACUCCUACGGGAGGCAGCAGUGGGGAAUAUUGCACAAUGGGCGCAAGCCUGAUGCAGCAACGCCGCGUGAGGGACGACGGCCUUCGGGUUGUAAACCUCUUUUAGCAGGGAAGAAGCGAAAGUGACGGUACCUGCAGAAAAAGCACCGGCUAACUACGUGCCAGCAGCCGCAGUAAAAC